UGUGGGAGGGACCCUCCCACACUGGCCACUCAUGACCUACAGAACCUGGCCCUCUGACGAUUAAGUCCACCCAACAUUUACUGAAAUGAACUUUCUCACGUCAAAUACUGUCCUGGUUCUUCCAUUUUCUCUUCAUGGAAGUCCCAGGUCACCGAGGAAGCAGAGACGCACUCAAAGUCUGCACAGCCAGCGCAAGAUCUCACUCGGCUGAUAUGACUUUAUUAAAUGAUCCAGCUCAGCGGAUUUCGGGGGACACGGCUCUGCGGUUCCUGCUGUCCCUACGGUUCCUUCUCAUCGCGUCUUCAUGCAUCUUCCAUUGGCCACAUGCCUGGUUGGUGUUUGCCAAAGGGCUGACAGGCUGGUGGCCACUGAGAGGAGCUCUUUUCCCUGGUGCUGCUUCCCUCCAGGUGUCUCCAUAACCAUCACACUGGCCACAGGAGCCCAGGUCUCAUACCUGCACUGGGCACAUCUGUCCAUCCAUCUGUCCAUCCAUCCGUCCAUCUGUCUGUCCACCCAUCUGCCUGUCCAUCCAUCCACACCGAUGCUUCCAGUGCCCAGCCAAGGCCUGCAUUGGCCAAGGCUAAAUUUAACGCGCAGCUGCUUCAUCAGACACUGGUAUUUUCAGUGAGGAGUCUAGGGCUGCCGAGCUGGAAGCCUCUGAGGGCUGCUGGCCAGGGCUCACACCCUUGCUUUGAGUUGUGCUCAACAUCCAAGCUGUUCUGAGAACUUGUUCCUUCCCAUCCCUUCCUUUUUAAUUUAAAAAAAAAGAUUAUAAUUAUAUCAUUUCCCCUUCUCUUUCUUCCCUCUAAAUCCUCAAACAUACCACUUCUCACAACACCCCUGCUCUCUUUAAAAUUCAUGGUCUCUUUUUCUUUAAUUGCUGUUGGUGGUGGUAGUGGUGGUGGCGUUGUGUAUGUCUUCCUAAAUACAUAAACACAUCCUGCUCGGACUAUAUAACAUUAUUUGAUGUAUGUUUCUAGGGCUGACCAUUUGGUACCGGAUAGCCAACUGUUGUGCUCUUCCCUGGGAAAGGUAUUUCCCCUUAUCUGGGCAUUCCUCAGUUGCCUGUAGUUCUUUGUUCAGGGUUGGGGCCUCUUGAGCUUCCCCUUCCACAUUAGCAUGGUUGCUGGCAUCCUUGUUCAGGGCGUGCUUAGGCGGCCAUGCUGAUGAGACUUCAUGGGUGUAGUUUCCCUUCCUUUCCUAACUGGCACUGGGAUGGGAGGAAGCAAGAACUGGCAGAGAGGGGAGAGGAAAGAGGCAGGACUGGGGACCUCUGGGUGCUCCGUCAUGCUUCUCCUCUCCCAGAUCAGCAGGACUGCUCUCUGGUGUGCGAUAGGAAGAAAACACAGGCUACACCACCCAUGGAGGGGCUGCCAGCUGGCCUGUUCUCUCCCUGCCUCUGUUUCUGAGUCGCUGUCCAGGGAGCUGCCAGGCUUGCUGUGAACUCCUGUGUUCAUUAAUCAUCCAUGCUUUUUCUUACUGGAGCACUCAUGGGGAGCCCUGGCCCAUCGCACUCUGAAAGUUUCCAGUCUGGUCCUCCUGGCCAAGGACAGCUAUGUGGAAAACCGCAGGCUCUCAGUGUUCUUUACAAUCAGGAGGAGAUGGCCUCAGAGGUGUGGCAGGUGGAAGAGAGAGAUGGUGGCCUCUGGGUCUUGGGGAGCAGGGUGGAGGUGGAGCCUAUUGCCCAUGGCCACCACACUGGCCAGGGUAGCAGCCUGUCAGAUGUCUCAACUCUCCUCUGAGGCCAAGGGAAACAGGAUCUACUCCCUCCCACCUUACCCCCCUCCAUGUCCAGAGUGAGCAUCCUUGACCACUUUGUGUGGCUGGCACCUGAUACUCAGGCUGUCUGCAAGUGCCCACUGGUUGGCACCUUUUGCCCAUAGCUCUCACCCAAGGAAGGGCCUCUGGACUCUGUUACAGACAGGCAAACGGUGGCACUCAGGGUUUUUGGUUUAUGUCUGGAUCCCUGACUGCCUCUGAUUAGCCCUUAGGACCCUUAUUUUCACCCUACGAGUAUUGACCACAGCUAACUCUCCUAUCCUGGACCCAGCGCUAUCUUCAAUGCAGCUCGUGGGUAGACAUAUUAAAACCUUGUAUCAGCCUUUGCUGCACUAGGCACCCCUACAGUCCAAUCCUGCAGAUGAAGACUUGAAGACCAGACGGGUUAUGUGGCUUCCUCAAAGACACACAGGAUUUGAAUGUGAGUGCUGUGAAGACUCAGGGGAGGGGGUGAGAAGGCAUGGCAUCAACGACACAGACACUGGAAGUCAGUUGAAGGCAAACAGCAAACUCCUUUAUUCAAUAAUGGGAAAGGCCUUAUAAACCCUCCUCCCAGCACCCAGGCUGUGUCCCAAUCUGGUGGCAUUGUGUGAUCAUCCCUCAUUGGCUGGGCACAAUCAGGAACUCUGACAGCAACCAAGAACUCUGACAGCACCUGUUGCUAGGCCCUAAGGCAGACUCUGGGUUGGCUCAUAAAGAAGUAUGUUAUGUGCAUGCCUUGGCAACUGGUUUGAGCCAAUUUCCUUGACCCUAUGGACCUGUCCUACUACACCACAGUAUUUCAGAUGCCUGUUUCUUGCCUACAUCCUGCACUAGACUGUGGAAGUGUGGACAAAGAUUGUGCUUCAGUCCUUUCAAAUGUUUGUUGAAUGAAUGAAAAAAAAUUGUACACUAAACCACUGUUCUUUACCCCAUGUUUCUUAAAGCUGAUGGUUCUGAGGUAUUUGUAGGUCCAGGGUGGGGCAUUUUAUGGCUACUGGGGAGAGCCAGCAGCACACUAAGGGUGGCAGCCUGUGUCUCCUCUGUCUCUGGCUCCAUCACAAGCUAUAAUUUGUCCCUAAAGACUCUCAAUAUAUGUAGCUUCUUAGAGGCAGUAAUUAGCCUUGGGAAUUAAAGGUUAAAAUCAGCACAAUGUUGUUUAACUAUGCCCUCUAAGCAAGUCAUAGCAUUUGAAGAAUUUCUAGGUAUGGCAACAUACUUUUGAAAAAACUGUUAACUUAAAUAGAUUGAUAAUUUAAAAAUCAA